rnacentral:rRNA from 1 species
UACGGGGGGGGUAAGCGUUGUUCGGAAUUACUGGGCGUAAAGCGCACGUAGGCGGAUCGGUCAGUUAGGGGUGAAAUCCCAGAGCUCAACUCUGGAACUGCCUUUAAUACUGCCGAUCUCGAGUCCGGAAGAGGUGAGUGGAAUUCCGAGUGUAGAGGUGAAAUUCGUAGAUAUUCGGAGGAACACCAGUGGCGAAGGCGGCUCACUGGUCCGGUACUGACGCUGAGGUGCGAAAGCGUGGGGAGCAAACAGG